CCCCAUCCUCGAUUGCUCCUAAAUUUCUAGAUUUUGAGUCACACACCCUAAUUGAUUUUCCAAACUACCACAGUUAAAACAGUUCCUUUUCACAUUGUCAUCCGCCAAAAACCUACAGAUCUAAUAUAGGUCUCCCGGAAUAUUUUCACUGGACCAAUGAGCAACACCAAUCUUCAACAAAUAUAUUCCACACGCACUAUUGGCUGCACGUGUCUCAAAUUAUUGAACUCGCUUAUGGACGCACCAAAAGCAAGGAAUAGGUACAAAAACCGGCCCUGACCCUCCUCACCCAAUUAAGUCUCCAAAUCAGCAAUGGUACUUAGGUUAGCAAGUUGUAACAUGUAUAGCUAUUCAGACAUUUUAAUGCAAGAAUUAUCAUCUGUUCUUUAAAUACCAAAUAUUUCAUGCUCUUUAGCCGUAUAGCACUUCAUGUAAGAUUUUAGAACAAGCCGUUGUAGAUCUCUACAUACAAGACCUUUCCUAGGAUCCCCAAACCUGGACUUGUUACACAGAAUCUAUAACCUGUGAUUUUUUUCUAUUCUUGUACCAUUUCCUAGUCUUAAUAAGACAAAUAUGCUCGGGAUGUGCCUUCCUAAUCUCAUAGUAGUCAGAACCCCUUAUCUCAUGCACUAUCACACGCUAGUCACAUCGCCUCAUCGGGGCACUCAGCCACAAAUGAAUAGAUUUUUGUUCUUGACGCUUGAACUAGAACUGAUUCUUAAUUGCAUAUAUCCAGCAAGAUUUGUCUAUCGACUUUGUUACCAAAAACCUUCCCAACGUAGAUCCUCCAUCCCCUUCAUCCACAUACAUAUCCGGUAUCUUGGCUGCAUCAUAUGCAAUAUCAUCAAACAAUAGUGGUAUAUCAAACUCCUCGUCAUCCCUCUAAUCUAGCUUAUGUCCACAUCCACGGGAAGCCCAGUCCAUGCAAGCCGCAUAUACUCCAUCACUCUUCCACGGGUUCUCAUCCUCAAGUUUCGACCACUUCCCUUGUUGCGGCCCACUGCUUGAGCCCCACACUUUCACCUAAUAUCAAAAGCAUUGUUCGUUGACGUGGCCCUCUCUUUUUGAUUAGACUAUCCACGAUUUUAUCCUCUUUGAAAACAACUUUGACAACAUUUGAACCACCAAAAUCACCUUCUAGCAAUGGACUCCAAAACCCCUUAUCAUUGCUUCUAGGUCUGAUAUCCCUUUCAUCCAAAUCACCAUCUUCGAUAUCCAAAAUGUCUUCACCAUUAUUUCCACCUCUUGCUUUUUUUUCUUGAAAGCUGUGGGUACUCCUCACUUUUUAUUUCUUCCUCCACCUUCUCCAUCGCACGUACAAUCUCAAAAUCAUCCAAAUUGAUUACAUGUGUUUUAGAGUCAACCAUGAAACAUAACCCCUUUUUGAUGAGCUCCCAUCAAUAUCGGUUGACAUCUUCCUUAUCCCUAUAGUUGGGAUUACAAAGUAAACCGGACUCAUCCACAUUAUCCUUUGCUUUAAAGAUUACCCUAUUAUCAAACUUGCAGAAAGGUUCAUGGCUUCUUCACUUGCAAGUACUUGUACGAGUGCAUUAUAGACUCGUCGCUUUUAAACAACACCGGUGAUGUCUUCAUGCCAGUGGAAAGCUCAAAAGUACUAGGCGGGCCAGUAGCUUAACGAAACUAGACAAAGGGCUUCAUGAACAUUGAACUCAGGUAAAAAACUGCUCUUAAGCUCCUUCAAGCUGAUUUUCUCAUAAACAGGCACCAACACCGCCAUAUGAUGCUUGUCGACGACAAAAUUCCAGUUCCCUCCACCUCACACAGCCACUCCCAACAAAUCACUGUACAUUUCUCUUCCAUUGCGUUAUCAUGCAACAAAAAACGAACACGUUCACUACUAUCUCAAAAAACACAGAAGUUGACACGAUCAAACAUAACUCAAUCACCAAAAAAAUAGACUAGAGAGACCUUCUUCUUCGUCAACCACCAACACAAACAUUAAGUCACGUCACUUGUCUGUUUUAUUCAAGCACACAUAAGCCACAACAACCAUUAGCUCUAAAAAUGCUUUCUAAAUCGUGUGGCUAUAAUCUAAUCCCAGUGAUUUAUAAACCUAACAAUAAUUAAUAGGCAAACUAAAAUAAAAGUAACUAAAAAAACUAUGUUUAUUUUUCCCAACAAAAGACCAACUAGGUUUUUAAAGGCCAAAGGUAAAGGUAUAAUUGUUCACAAUCCGCAUCGAUUCUGAGAAUUGUGUGUCUUAGGCAAUAAGUGUCCUUUUUGGGCAAAAAAAAAAUAUCUAAAUAAGUUGCUCACUCUAUAAAAGGUUGGUUUAAUGCUAAAAGUUUUGACGAUGACAAGUUGGGUGUACUCAUCUAUGGAAGGAGCACGUACAAAACACAAUAGAAUGAUCUCACACAUCAUAAUAUUCAAAUCAUUUACUCUGGAAUCUCAUGAACAAAUGACUAAAGUUAAAAUCCAAUGCAUACUACAAAUUUUAGAAUUCACCAACUAAAACUAUCUUUAAAAUUGUAAAUUCAAUUGAUUACAAAUUAUUGACAAUUGAUUUUAAAUUGUUGAUUGAGGGCCUGGCUGGUUCAAACGCAGCGGUUGCGGUUGCGGGAAUUUGCGGAUGUGGGUGGUUGCGGUUUCUAGCGGUUUUAAGAGAUUUGUAUGACUGAUUCUGCGGUUAUAAAUUGGUGCUUUUGCGGGAUAUUUAUGACUAGUUAACUAUCAAACGCAACAUCGGUUAAAUAAUAAAUUAACAAUAUUUAUAUUUUAUAUAAUUAUAAUAAUAUCAAAAAUCAUAAUAUCAUAAUAAAUAUAAAAAUUAUAUUUAGAAAGUAAUAGUUUUAAAUUUUCAAAAAUUAUAGAAAAUAUUUCUAUUUUAAAAUUUUAUUAUAUUAAUUAACAUAUAAUACAUAUAUGUUAGUGCUUUUGUAAUCCCAAUUUAAAAUUUUUAUUGAAUAUUUUUAUUUAUAUUGUUUUUAGAAAAAAAUUGUCCUCCCGUAGCCGCAAACGCUAGCUGGAGUCAGCUUUUGAAUUUAUGAGGUUUAGAGCAGUUUGGAGUGGUUUAGAACGGUUUGAGUGACUGUUGCUAAAUGCCAACAACCGCUACCAACCGCGAAAGCUGCGUUUGCGGGUGAUACCGGAGAAACCAGUCAUACCCUGAAUAGCACCCCCUUAGAUAAAUUAUGUAAUAUUGCUGGAAAAUGGUUGAUCACUACAUUAUAAAUAAAAUUCAAAUGCUGAUAAAAAAAACUACAAAUACGGAAUACUUCCAACAACAAAAGAUUGUUUUUCAUCUGAAAAAAUGUCAACUUUGUCAAAAGUAAACCUUUAACAAAAAGUCAACUUUGAUAUUUAUCUAUAAUAUGUUGUUAGUAUCUUUUUUGGUGUAAAUGUUGGUAGUACUUUGUAAAUUUUAUAUUUGAAAGCGAUCUCUUCUUUUCACGAGAUGCAGUUGUGGUUUACACCAAAAAAAAAAAGAUGCUGUUGUGGGCAUAAACAAUUGAAGUGGUUUUAAGUCCCCAUUAAAAAUAGUUUACUCCAAGAAAGUAAAUUUUAUGAUAGGUUAAUAAAUAAUAAUAACAUUUAUUUCAAUUAUAAAAACAAAUAAAUAACAAAAUAUAAAAAUAGUCCUAAGUGAUUAAAAAGAAAACAGAAUGGUUGAGAAUGUCAAAUCUAUAUAUUUAUGUAAUGUUUUGAGUUUUAGUUGAUUCAUUAAAU